AUUUGACUAAUGUGUUAAGUCAAAUGGUGGUGGGAAGUGGUCAACAAUUGAUGGUAUGUGGUAUUUGUGCAAUGACGAGCCAUUAUACGGAUAAGUGUCCCACACUUGGAAGUGAACCGGAAGAUGUGAAUGCAAUGGGCGGAUAUCAAGGUCAACCAAGACCCAUGGGAUUUCAAAACAAUUUCAACCCAAAUUGGAGGAAUAACCAAAACAACCCUUAUCCACUAAAGCAAAAUCCACCAAAUCUUUUGAUGAGACCCCAACAUCCACAACACCAAUCCCAAAAACCUCCAUAUCCACAAAAUUCUUAUAACCCUCCAAAUUACCAACAACCUCCACAACAAGGCGAAUCAAGUGGUACCCAUCAAAUGAGCCUUCAAGAACUUGUCACUUCUCUUGCUCAAAGCCAAAACCAAUUUCAACAAGAAACCAAGAAUACUUUCUCCAACAUUCAAGCACAAAUUGGAGACUUGGCAACCGCUCUCAACAAGAUAGAACAAAGGGGUAAACUUCCAUCACAAACCGAGAAGAACCCCAAUGUGAGUGCCAUCACCUUGCAAAGUAAUUAUUGUUCUUGUUACUUUGUUGCCAUGAGUGGCUAAUACUCUUAUUUGGUUGACUUUGGCUGAAAACCAAUGAAUGUUUGUGGGUUUUGAAGGAUUUAUGUUGAUUAUCAAUUUAUUCCAUGUUUAUGAUUCUAGUUUACAAUUCUUAUGCUUAUUUGAUGCUUUGAUCAUGAGCUUAGUAUUUGAUUGAGCAAUGGUUGAUUUGUUUCAUUGAUUUUGCAUUGGAUCAUUGAAUUUAUCUAGAACAAAGGCUUUAUGAUGGUAGAAAUCAUCUCUAGCUUAUGAAUCAUAGCUCCUUUAUGGAUGUGUAAGCAUUUGACAUCCUCUAGGAAUUGGGGAUUCAUUCAUUCUCAAGGCUAGUUGAUUUCUUGGGAUUAAUUGCUUCAAUUGACCCUUGAUCAUAAUUAAGAAGGUGUGUUGUGGGCUUCCCCAACCUCCAUACUACCUAUGAGGAAUCUUGGCAUAUCAUGCUUCAUGAUUGCUAUAACCAAUUUGGGAUGAAGGAUAAGAUUUGUAUUAGAUCCUAAUGAUAAACACACAAAUGUUCAUUGUGUUGAAUUGCCUUAGUUAACCAAUUAUUUUCAACCUUUGAGCAUCUCAUCAACUUGCUUAAUUGCAAGGUUUUUAGUUAUUCAAGUAUUUUAGUUUUCAAGUAAUCAAACCCCCCCCCUUUAGUUUAAUUGUAGUUAGUUAGUUUAAUUUCACUAGUUCUAUUGAAUUGCAUUGGUGAUUGAAUACAACCAUUUCCCCGAGGAUCGAUACCCCUUUUUACCAUUAUAUUACGUUUAUUUAGCAAUCAAAUGUUGUAAUUUGCUUCGUGGACUUGACAUCCCACCAAGUUUUGGCACCGUUGCCGGGGAAAUUGGUUAUUGUUAUUUGAUUGUUUAUGCCUAGGUCUACAAGAACCGGUGAACUACUCUACAAUCCGAAAAUUGAAAGAGUAGCAAAAAGGUUGAAAAAGUUAUCCAAACAAGCAAAGAAACAACAACUAGUUCAAGCUUCUUCCUCUUCUCCACUAAUCAACAUAGAAGAUCAAGUUCAUACUUCAAGUGAUACCGACACCGAACCGAGUUCUCUAAUUGCUGGUCAUUCCUUUGAAGACAUUCCGUUUGAAAACCACAUAGCCAUGAAUCACACUUCACCUCACAAUCCCAACCCAAACCCAAUCAAUCAAGAUGCCAAUACCCCACCCCAUCAACCAAGACAAUAACCACAAGAACCUCUCAUUGAUAUGCCACCUUGGAAUCAAGCCCCUCCUCAAAACCAACCCAAUUAUCAACCACAAAACCAAAACUUCCACCAAAACAACCAACCUCAAAACAAUGCUUUUCAAGUUCAACAACAAGUACAUUACCCAAAUCAACCCAAUUACCAACCCCCUCAAAUGUACCAAAACCAAAUGUACCAACAACAACAACCCCCUACAACCAAUAUCCUAAUUACCAAGCUUAUCCACCACCAAUUUACAAUCACAACCAAUACCCUUACCCACCUUAUCAACAACCACCCAAUUACUAGCAACAAUAUCCCAAUAACCCCAAUCCACCCAAUCCCCCUCAAGAGUUGACACUUAGACAAAUUAUGGAAACGGAUGUUACUCACACACCUCUUGCUAUUGUUUAUCCCGCAAACCGCCUAGGGAUUGAAUUGAAGUCAAGUUUCAUCCAUAAACUAACCAAAUUCCAUGGGUUGGAUAGAGAAGAUCCUCAAAAGCAUUUGAAUUCCUUUCAUAUGAUAUGUGUUAGCAUGUUGCCCGACAAUGCGACAUUGGAUGAUUUCAAGUUAACCGCAUUCCCACUCACCUUGGAAGACAAAGCUAGAGAGUGGUUAUUCAACUUACCACAUGGUUCAAUUCACACAUGGGAAGAGUUACUCAAGACCUUCAAUAUCAAAUUCUAUCCCACCUCCCUCAUUUCAAGUCAAAGAAGUGACAUUUUGUGGAUUCAUCAAGGGGAAAAUGAAACAUUUCAUGAUUUUGGGAGCUUCAACAAUUUGUGUACAAGUUGUCCUCAAUACAAUAUACCCGAAAAACUACUUCUUAAACAAUUUUAUGAGGGUAUGAAUGAAAAAGAUCGAAGGAUGAUUGAUGCUUCAAGUGGUGGUGACAUCUUCAACAAAACCCCUCACGAGAUCCGAUUACUUUUUGGUACCAUUUCUCAAAAUCAAAGGAAUUUUGGGACUCUAAUUGACAUGAAGAGAAAUUCUACACAAGUGGUUGGUGAAGUUAGCAACACUCAACACUUGGAAUCGAAGCUCUUGGAUUUGACUAAUGUGUUAAGUCAAAUGGUGGUGGGAAGUGGUCAACAAUUGAUGGUAUGUGGUAUUUGUGCAAUGACGAGCCAUUAUACGGAUAAGUGUCCCACACUUGGAAGUGAACCGGAAGAUGUGAAUGCAAUGGGCGGAUAUCAAGGUCAACCAAGACCCAUGGGAUUUCAAAACAAUUUCAACCCAAAUUGGAGGAAUAACCAAAACAACCCUUAUCCACUAAAGCAAAAUCCACCAAAUCUUUUGAUGAGACCCCAACAUCCACAACACCAAUCCCAAAAACCUCCAUAUCCACAAAAUUCUUAUAACCCUCCAAAUUACCAACAACCUCCACAACAAGGCGAAUCAAGUGGUACCCAUCAAAUGAGCCUUCAAGAACUUGUCACUUCUCUUGCUCAAAGCCAAAACCAAUUUCAACAAGAAACCAAGAAUACUUUCUCCAACAUUCAAGCACAAAUUGGAGACUUGGCAACCGCUCUCAACAAGAUAGAACAAAGGGGUAAACUUCCAUCACAAACCGAGAAGAACCCCAAUGUGAGUGCCAUCACCUUGCAAAGUAAUUAUUGUUCUUGUUACUUUGUUGCCAUGAGUGGCUAAUACUCUUAUUUGGUUGACUUUGGCUGAAAACCAAUGAAUGUUUGUGGGUUUUGAAGGAUUUAUGUUGAUUAUCAAUUUAUUCCAUGUUUAUGAUUCUAGUUUACAAUUCUUAUGCUUAUUUGAUGCUUUGAUCAUGAGCUUAGUAUUUGAUUGAGCAAUGGUUGAUUUGUUUCAUUGAUUUUGCAUUGGAUCAUUGAAUUUAUCUAGAACAAAGGCUUUAUGAUGGUAGAAAUCAUCUCUAGCUUAUGAAUCAUAGCUCCUUUAUGGAUGUGUAAGCAUUUGACAUCCUCUAGGAAUUGGGGAUUCAUUCAUUCUCAAGGCUAGUUGAUUUCUUGGGAUUAAUUGCUUCAAUUGACCCUUGAUCUUAAUUAAGAAGGUGUGUUGUGGGCUUCCCCAACCUCCAUACUACCUAUGAGGAAUCUUGGCAUAUCAUGCUUCAUGAUUGCUAUAACCAAUUUGGGAUGAAGGAUAAGAUUUGUAUUAGAUCCUAAUGAUAAACACACAAAUGUUCAUUGUGUUGAAUUGCCUUAGUUAACCAAUUAUUUUCAACCUUUGAGCAUCUCAUCAACUUGCUUAAUUGCAAGGUUUUUAGUUAUUCAAGUAUUUUAGUUU
rnacentral:lncRNA from 1 species